rnacentral:rRNA from 1 species
UACGAAGGGGGCUAGCGUUGUUCGGAAUUACUGGGCGUAAAGCGCGCGCAGGCGGUCCUUCAAGUCAGGGGUGAAAGCCCAGGGCUCAACCCUGGAAUGGCCUUUGAGACUAGAGGACUUGGGUACGGGAGAGGUGAGUGGAAUUCCGAGUGUAGAGGUGAAAUGCGUAGAUAUCUGGAGGAACACCGGUGGCGAAGGCGGCAUCCUGGACCGGCAUUGACGCUGAGGCGCGAAAGCCAGGGGAGCAAACGGG